rnacentral:rRNA from 1 species
AUUGGACUACCAUGGCAGUCACGGGUAACGGAGAAUUAGGGUCGAUUCCGGAGAGGGAGCCUGAGAAACGGCUACCACAUCUACGGAAGGCAGCAGGCGCGUAAAUUACCCAAUCCUGAUUCAGGGAGGUAGUGACAAGAAAUAACAACUCGGGGGCCUCACGGCUUACGAGAUUGCAAUGAGAACAAUUUAAAUCUCUUAGCGAGGAACAAUUGGAGGGCAAGUCUGGUGCCAGCAGCCGCGGUAAUUCCAGCUCCAAUAGCGUAUAUUAAAGUUGUUGCAGUUAAAAAGCUCGUAGUUGAAUUUCUGAUUAUGGAUGUAGCGGUUUCCGUUACAUUUGUAGUCAUCCACAUGAGAACCUUUCUCGGCCUUCACUGGUCGGUUGGGGGAUCAUGUACUUUACUUUGAAAAAAUCAGAGUGUUUCAGGCAGGCGUUUGCAUGAAUACACAAGCAUGGAAUAAUGGAAUAGGACUAGGGUCCAUUUUAUUGGUUAUUGGACCAUAGUAAUGAUUAAUAGGGACAGUUGGGG